rnacentral:rRNA from 1 species
UACGAAGGGGGCUAGCGUUGCUCGGAAUCACUGGGCGUAAAGGGUGCGUAGGCGGAUUGUUAAGUCGGGGGUGAAAUCCUGGAGCUCAACUCCAGAACUGCCUUCGAUACUGGCGAUCUCGAGUUCGGGAGAGGUGAGUGGAACUGCGAGUGUAGAGGUGAAAUUCGUAGAUAUUCGGAAGAACACCAGUGGCGAAGGCGGCUCACUGGUCCGGUACUGACGCUGAGGUGCGAAAGCGUGGGGAGCAAACAGG